rnacentral:rRNA from 1 species
AUUGAACGCUGGCGGCAUGCCUUACACAUGCAAGUCGAACGGCAGCACGGGGGCAACCCUGGUGGCGAGUGGCGAACGGGUGAGUAAUGCAUCGGAACGUGCCCAGUAGUGGGGGAUAACCAGUCGAAAGGCUGGCUAAUACCGCAUACGACCUAAGGGUGAAAGCGGGGGACCGUAAGGCCUCGCGCUAUUGGAGCGGCCGAUGUCUGAUUAGCUAGUUGGCGGGGUAAAAGCCCACCAAGGCGACGAUCAGUAGCUGGUCUGAGAGGACGACCAGCCACACUGGGACUGAGACACGGCCCAGACUCCUACGGGAGGCAGCAGUGGGGAAUUUUGGACAAUGGGCGCAAGCCUGAUCCAGCCAUGCCGCGUGCGGGAAGAAGGCCUUCGGGUUGUAAACCGCUUUUGGCAGGAACGAAACGGCGCAAGCCAAUACCUUGCGCUAAUGACGGUACCUGCAGAAUAAGCACCGGCUAACUACGUGCCAGCCGCCGCCGUAAAAC